AACGAACGCUGGCGGCAUGCCUAACACAUGCAAGUCGAACGAGACCUUCGGGUCUAGUGGCGCACGGGUGCGUAACGCGUGGGAACCUGCCCUUAGGUUCGGAAUAACUCCCCGAAAGGGGUGCUAAUACCGGAUAAUGUCUUCGGACCAAAGAUUUAUCGCCUUUGGAUGGGCCCGCGUUGGAUUAGCCAGUUGGUAGGGUAAAAGCCUACCAAGGCGACGAUCCAUAGCUGGUCUGAGAGGAUGAUCAGCCACACUGGGACUGAGACACGGCCCAGACUCCUACGGGAGGGAGCAGUGGGGAAUAUUGGACAAGGGGCGAAGGCGUGAUCCAGCAAUGCCGCGUGAGUGAUGAAGGCCUUAGGGUUGUAAAGCUCUUUUACCCGGGAUGAUAAUGACGGUACCGGGAGAAUAAGCACCGGCUAACUCCGUG
rnacentral:rRNA from 1 species